ACCGGCGGCUCGAGUGGUGGCCACUAUUACUGGGCUUAAAGCGUUCGUAGCUGGCUUGUUAAGUCUCUGGGGAAAUCUUCCGGCUCAACCGGAAGGCGUCUCAGGGAUACUGGCAGGCUAGGGACCGGAAGAGGUGAGAGGUACUCCAGGGGUGGGUCUGACGACGGGGACUCGGAGGGUGAGGACAGGGGGCGGGGGCGGCACACCAGGACGACUCCGACAGUGGGCAGCGUAAGCUGGUUGAGCAACCAG
rnacentral:rRNA from 1 species